GAUGAACGCUGGCGGCGUGCCUAAUACAUGCAAGUCGAGCGAACGGACGAGAAGCUUGCUUCUCUGAAGUUAGCGGCGGACGGGUGAGUAACACGUGGAUAACCUACCUAUAAGACUGGGAUAACUUCGGGAAACCGUAGCUAAUACCGGAUAAUAUUUUGAACCGCAUUGUUCAAAAGUGAAAGACGGUCUUGCUGUCACUUAUAGAUGGAUCCGCGCUGCAUUAGCUAGUUGGUAAGGUAACGGCUUACCAAGGCAACGAUGCAUAGCCGACCUGAGAGGGUGAUCGGCCACACUGGAACUGAGACACGGUCCAGACUCCUACGGGAGGCAGCAGUAGGGAAUCUUCCGCAAUGGGCGAAAGCCUGACGGAGCAACGCCGCGUGAGUGAUGAAGGUCUUCGGAUCGUAAAACUCUGUUAUUAGGGAAGAACAUAUGUGUAAGUAACUGUGCACAUCUUGACGGUACCUAAUCAGAAAGCCACGGCUAACUACGUG
rnacentral:rRNA from 1 species